GUCGUGUGUCAUCAUGGAAGCGAAACUGCGUGGUUCAAUGCUGUUGUUUGUUUAUUGAAAACCGGCUGUUAGAUUGCUGGAAACUUUAUAAUCAUGUGAAGGUUUCCCUAACGUAAUCGGUGCUUUGGACUGCACACAGAUAAAGAUUCAAGCCCCAUCUCAAUUUGAGGAUGUUUAUGUCUGUCGCAAAUCCAUUCACAGCAUCAAUGUUCAGAUGAUAUGUGAUGCUGAUCGCAUUGCCACAAACCUUGUAGCCAAAUGGCCGGGAAGUGUUCACGACAGUCGAAUAUUCAAGGUGUCGUCCAUUGGCCGUGAACUUGCUAACCAAGCUCCACAUGAUGGAUUCCUUUUGGGAGACAAAGGUUAUGCACUUGAACCGUACCUGAUGACACCUUAUCGGAAUCCAACACCUGAAGAAGCCAGAUAUAAUGCCGCCCAAGCACGAACCAGGACACGAGUUGAGCAGGCCUUUGGCAUUUUAAAGAGGCGGUUCCAUUGCUUGCACAAUGAAAUUCGGCUGGUCCCAGAACAGGCCUGUAAAGUGAUAGUCUGCUGUGUAAUCCUCAACAACAUUGCACUGAAGCGGCAGGAUGUGAUGGAGCCACUUUUGGAGAAUCAAUAUAACCUUGAUCCCAUUGAUGACGAUACUGUAACUGGAAGGGUUCAUUUGCGUGACACCUUCUUUCAUUUCUGAUUGUGCAAGCAUGCAAGUGUUCUUAUUUAUUUCAGCUAUUAAAUGCAAUACAGUCCUGAUCAUUUUAAUCAUAUCAACCUCCUACAUUCCUAAGAUAUUUUGCAAACUAAUAGAUAAACUAAAUGACCAAUUACAUAAAUGCAAGUAUUUUCGUAAGGGUAUGCCUACAUGCAGGCCUUGAUAAGGAUUCUAUUAUUGCCAAAAUGUUUUCAUGUGGUAUUGAUAGUUAGCAUGGUUAGUAGGCCUUCACUUUUACCUUUCUCUUUACUGGUAUUGGAACAGGGCCUUAUCUGACUUUUUGCAAAAUGUUGGUGCUUUCUACUGAAGUCUUAACCCUACAGCUGCGUGAACUGAACUCUUGACUUCUGAUACAUAAUCAUUUUUUGUGAGAAUGGUAAAAUGACUUACCUCCAUGCUUUAUAUUCUUGUACUUUUUUUCACAUUCUGCACUUGUGCGCACCACUACUCCUGCAGCGCUGUACGUAAAAUGAUAUUUCGAAACAGUUCAAGUUCAAAUUUUAACUAAGAUGUAAGAAUGAUGCUAAAAGUAACAUCACACAACAAAAAGUGCAUUGCCAUUGACAUUUUAAAAAUAUCAAUAUUGCAGUACUAAAUUGCAAUACCUGGGCCAUGAUGCCUUAUUUGAUGAUUAUAACCGUAGUAGGCCUACUUAGCAAAACUUCAGUUCCUAUAUCACUUUGAAAUCAUCUUGUAUCAGCCACUGGACUGUUCUUCUUGUGUUCAUAUUUUCAUUUUAAAGGGACUCUGUAGACAGCAAGGUGGGCAAGAUGAAGUUUAAAUAAGUCGGGUCUCUCACAUCUCGAAGUACAUCGAAAUCUUCGAUCAUGCUUGUACGCCGAAUAUAUUCAUAUAUAUUAAACAUGACCCAGUUUGAACUACAGUGGACACCUCCCUUAGUGGACACCUCUCUAUUGAGGAUAACCUCUCCAUCAAGGACACUAGUUGGCUCACCGUAAGGGGAGUCUAUACGAUAGCGCUGUGUCCGUCGUCGUCGUCGUCGUCGUCGUCGUCGUCGUCGUCGUCGUCGUCGUCGUCGUCGUAUCCUAACAGUGGCACGUUUCUUAACUGCUAGGGCUAUGAACUUGAAACUUUGUACAAAGAAUGCCCUAGGUCAGCUGACCUCUGACACUGAUUUUCGGUCCGAUCUGAUUCUCUGUUUGGCCACCAGGGGGCCAAAUGUCGAUAUCUAAAAAGUGUGAUAUCUCGCUUAUUAGUGACUUGUUUUCGAUAAA